GGUGUUGGGAAUGGAGGCUGGUCCAAGAUCCUCUCGUGACUGUUUUUUUUUUUUUUGGUUCCUUAAUCUUUGAUCCAUUCAUAGGCUUUACUCAUGUGAGUUCAUAAGAUGUCAGUGAAGAGAUCUCGGACCAGGCUUCAUUCCUCGUACC
rnacentral:pre_miRNA from 1 species